AUUAUGCAGUUUCUUCGAUGGUGCCACUUGUGCCUUCCAUGGAGGCACCUCUGUAGAAUCCUAUUUUGUCUGUGGCUCCACAGCCACUGCCUCAAUCAGAGCUACAAGCACCUCCUCGAAGUUUGGAGAGAAAAUUAACUCAUCAAAGUCAUCUUAGGGCCCAGCAGCCGGCUAGGUGGCGAUCUCCAAGCCCACAGUCGAGCCAUAACUCAACCUCCGGA
rnacentral:lncRNA from 1 species